rnacentral:rRNA from 1 species
AUUGAACGCUGGCGGCAUGCCUAACACAUGCAAGUCGAGCGGAUGAAGGGAGCUUUCUCCUGUCUUCAGCUGCGGACGGGUGGGUAAUUCCUACGUAUCUACCUUGUCUUUGGGGCUAACGUCCGUUCACGGGCCCUAAUACCGCAUACGUCCUUAUGUAGAACGUGGUGGAUCUUCGGUCCUCACGCUAUCUGCUGACCCUGGUUCGUAUUAGCUAGUUGGUUAGGUAAAGGCCUACCAAGGCGACGAUGCGUAGCUGAUCUGAGAGGAUGAUCUGUCACACUGGAACUGAGACACGGUCCAGACUCCUACGGGAGGCAGCAGUAGGGAAUAUUGGGCAAUGGGCGAAAGCCUGAUGGAGCAAUGCCGCGUGAGUGAAGAAAGUCUUCGGAUUGUAAAGCACUUUAAGUAGGGAAGAAGAAAAGUAAAAGAAAACAUGGAUGUUUUGACGUUACCAACAGAAUAAGCAACGGCUAACUACGUG